rnacentral:lncRNA from 1 species
GCUAACUCAUUCGUGGUGGCCGGUCCCGAUCUGGUGGGGUGUCGAUGUUCCCUUCUUGACGUCAUGUUUUCUUGGACGCAGAGAAGUUCAACGCGCCCCGCCCUGCAGGACCUCCUCCAAUCGCCCGACGUCUUUGUCAUCUGCCAGGACCAAACCCUAACUCGUUCUUAGCUGAUCCACAAUCUGGUGCAGGUUCGAGGUUCCCUUCAUGAUCUCAUCUUUUCCUGGACCCAUACAAGUCAUACCGAGUCUAUCGAUCGCAUUCUGGACGAAUUCCUCCUAUCGCCUAAGGCCUUCGUCUCAUAGCUAGUCCAAACCCUAAAGACUUCUUGGUUGAUCCCCAUUAUGGUCUCUUGUUCUCACCAAACCGAGUCUAUCGAUCGCGCCCCGCCCCGGAGGAACUCUUCCAGUCACCCGACACCCACGUCAUCUUCCACGUUUCCCUCUCGAUUUCACCUUUCUUCGACGCAGACAAUCUGUCUGUUGAUGGAGCUCUGAGGAAAUUGCCCGAGCAGAGUGAGUCCCGAGAUCCUGUUGUUGUUAACCCUAUUUGUGUGUCAGACCAGGAAAUUUAUUCUGGAUGAACAAAUGCGAUUUAAUUUCAAUACGAGAUAAACACAUGAUCUUGAUCAAGGUUGGAGCGGAACAAGAGGUGGCAUCACGGUUGACCAGAGAUCGACAUAGUGUCGGCAAUUCACAUUUCGCUUUUCACAUCGAUGACGGGAAUCAUGCUGGCACACUUAUUUCGGUAAUACAUCCAAUAUCCUUCCCAGUUUACUUUUUCUGCGCUUAUGUUAUGUGACAUUUGUCCCUCCAUACAUUGUUUGUUGUCUCCUUUGGUCAUUAGAGAUAAGGGCGCUUAUGUUAUGUUCGCGCCCUUAUUGUCGGAGUGACCAUUCCGGGGAAUGUACAUUUGUACCUCUCCAUGUUGAUCAUGACGAUGUGUGCACCAUCUGUAGAGGGAUUAGAUUUAUCAUGAGAAGCAAAUGUUUGACAAAACAUUUAGGAGUUAUAUUUCUUUCAAGUGUGUUUUGGAAGAUCUGGAAACGAACACAUUUGGAUGUAAAAUCACGAUUCAUCUAAUUAAUAAAAUAAGUUAGCGGAAUCUUUAAGAUACAUGAUAUCCUAUCCGGACCUCAUUUUGUUUGCACACCGAUACUUCCAUAAAAUAUCCUGCUAUGUUUAUUUAAAUUAGGUUUCUGUAGUGUGAUCAAGGCGUAGUGAUGCAGCCAUCGUUGUUGGUUCUAGUUGAUGUAUUUGGUUCAGUUUAGUUCGUUGAGAGGCCAAUUCUUGAACCGAAAUUACUCCUUUUGGAUUAAUAUUAAACAAUCUUUUGGUGCUGUACCGGUUCAAUUGUUCGGCGAAGUUAGUGUCGGACUGAAACUUUAAAUUAUACUUCAGGUUUUCAUUUAUUAAAACUGAGAUCAAAUUGAUAGAGAUUAAAAACUAACAUUGAAGUCAUUUUAUGAGGCAAUGAUAAUGAAAUCUUGGAAUGGUUGUCAGCUAUUGAAUCAUUCUUAUUAUAAUUAAAAAGAAGAAGGCAGCAUUCGAAAUCAGGAUCUGUCUAUCAAGAUCUUUAUUAACUAGAUUAGCUGACAAUUAUUAGAUUCAAAUAUAUGCAAGAGAUGACUUUAACUGUAUACGAUGUUUCAUUAUAAUUUAAAACACCUUUUACAUGUGCCUCAAUGAUAGUAUCUUCUCUCUCUCUUUUUUUCAAAGAAUGAUUUUUUUAAAAAAAUUCAUGUUUUAGAUUUUUUUAAAAGGUACUUUUUUUUUUGUUUUCCAAGCAAUAUCUCUAAUUUAACAUACCCCUCAAAAGUUUCUUUGCUAAAUUAUUUCCUUCAUUUUUUUUUUACCAGUUUUCAAUUGUUACAUUGUUUUCAUUUAACUCAUUUAUAAUUUUUUUAAUAGUAUUUAUAAUAUUUUAUUGAUAUACUGACAAAUACUAUAAACACUAUAAAAAAAACCUUGUAAAUGACAUCAUAUCUGCCUUGUUAAAUGUUAUUGCUUACAAUAUCAUAUUUUUAGACUUAUAGUAAGUUUGAUUGAGAUAAUUCGGCUAUUUUAUUACAUUAAAAGUACUAUUUGAAAUCAUCCUUUUUUACAUACAACUAUUUUUAUGUUGAGCAUAAAUAAGAGGCAGCAAUGAUUUUUAAUUUUCUUUUUUUUAUUUACAAAGAUCUUUUAGUUUCAUUCGUAUUGAUCAAAGAAAGAGGAAUAUUUUAGAGUUUAGCAUGAUUAAUGUCUCGUUCUGAAAUUAAUAUUUUCAUUCUUAUACGGUGAUUAGCCAGUUGCACCAGUAUGUUCAAUUAUUUUCUCUUAGAGUGGUUCAUUGUAAUGGUGUUUCAAGGUUGUUUUUUUUUUUAAAGAUUUUUUUUUCCACCAUUUAUGUUUACCUUAUUGAGAACUCAAGAGUUGCAUGCGUGUAAAAAAUAAAAUGGCCUAUGAAAGAACAUAUUCGAAUGUCUACAUUGGAUUGUGGUGAUAUGGUUUGGGAUGUUAAACGGCUAUAGUGAUUGGCCUCGAGAAACUUGCCACUUUUGUGUUUCUAAAGGUUUCUAGUUGAAUUAAUAUGUAUAGACAGACGAGCCUUGCUUUGAAUAAACGGCCAUGGUGUGGUCAUUUGAACAUUCAUAAAUGAGUUAGUGACGAAAGCCACGGGGUUGAGUAGGUUAUGAUGUGAUUUUCAAUUAAAACUCAGCAAAUCAAAUUCAUACGAAACCCAAAGGAGUACGGGCAUUGCUUAAAAAGAUAAGAAAAAAUUUUCCGAAUCGAAGGCCUACUAUGGUUAGGGUGCAGUCUUUUUGGUGCGUCUGGUAGUUCACUGUUACGACGACACGCGCGCACGGAGGAAAAUGGGUGUUCCUGCACCGGACGUAUAGGACUGACAGCGCCGUUUCGGGCGAUGACGACGCCUGGAUUCGUGCGUUCCCAAACUGUAGCGCUGUGCAUCGGGCCUCGAGCUACCGGCCACCGCCUUCUCUGCCAAGAAAGAUAUCCGUUGUUGCUCGUUGGUACGCUGUCCAAAUCCAGAAGGACGGCGACCGAUAUAUUUAUCUACAGCAAAAUCACUGUGACAUGUUCUCUUUUUUUUCCUCUUCUUGUUCAAUGAAUGUAAACUAGCCUCUUCAGUAGUUGUUGUUGUCUGUGGUUCUCUUUUCGGUCGUAAAGCUUCGAUUAAAAAUAUCUGAUUCAUGUGCUAAGAGCCAGCGUACUUCAGUUGGACUGAAGUCCAAUGUCAUGUCACAAACUUGAUGACCGAGGCUCGUGAGCAUGGACGUCCCACCGCAACGAAGUCUAUGAUAGAUCAUACCAAUUGUAGCAAUUUCUGGGUAUGAUUUAGUCAGCCUAAGUAGAAGCGUCUGAUAACAACGUUUAUAGAUAGCAGCAGAUGAAAUUUCCGGCCUAUGAAUCCCCCCAUUCCACUACAAGUAUCACACGACUAGCUGACAACCAUCUUUUUGUAUUUCUUCGAGUUUUGAAGCAAAUUGUGCUCUUUUACAGACAAUAAUGAGUUGCUUUAUUGUCAAACAAGACUGAUAAAGCUGCGAACCAUUACACAUCCCGCUAGGCAGUUUCUCCUGCUUCUUCAUUUUGCCUUGAUCUGUGGAGGCGCUGAAAUGACAAAUUUUGCCUUGAAGAACUUGAUGGGUUGGGAAAAGGGCUGUUGGGAGUUGGUAGAAUUCGCCGACCAUUGCUGAUGGACUGAUG